AUCUACCUGCCUCAAAGUAAAUCACACCACUCCCCGAGAGUGUGCGGUGGAGAACGCUCAUCAAUGGCUAGCAUUGAUUCAACCAGAAACUUUUCGAUCCAGAGACCACAUAUCUACAGUGAACCAAUGGAGAAUUUUGAAAGCCCUUACGUCAGCAGAGAGACACAUCUGUACAAAUCUCAAACGGGAAUUAGACCAGUACCAGCCACGUAUACCACAACUGAAAACAGAACUC